AGUGAACGCUGGCGGUAGGCCUAACACAUGCAAGUCGAACGGCAGCACAGUAAGAGCUUGCUCUUACGGGUGGCGAGUGGCGGACGGGUGAGGAAUACAUCGGAAUCUACUUUUUCGUGGGGGAUAACGUAGGGAAACUUACGCUAAUACCGCAUACGACCUACGGGUGAAAGCAGGGGAUCUUCGGACCUUGCGCGAUUGAAUGAGCCGAUGUCGGAUUAGCUAGUUGGCGGGGUAAAGGCCCACCAAGGCGACGAUCCGUAGCUGGUCUGAGAGGAUGAUCAGCCACACUGGAACUGAGACACGGUCCAGACACCUACGGGAGGCAGCAGUGGGGAAUAUUGGACAAUGGGCGCAAGCCUGAUCCAGCCAUACCGCGUGGGAGAAGAAGGCCUUCGGGUUGUAAAGCCCUUUUGUUGGGAAAGAAAAGCAGCAGGUUAAUACCCCGCUGUUCUGACGGUACCCAAAGAAUAAGCACCGGCUAACUUCGU
rnacentral:rRNA from 1 species